rnacentral:tRNA from 1 species
GGGAAGGUGGCUGAGUGGCUGAAAGCAGCGGUUUAGUAAACCGCUGCUUUCAGCCACUCAGCCACCUUCCCA